rnacentral:lncRNA from 1 species
AAAGAUGCUGAUAAAAAGAGGGGGAGUUUUUCUGGUGCUUCAAAAAGGGAAUUUAGACACAAAAGAAAAAGGAUUAUUUUUCUCUUCCAAACUCAGCGCCGUCACGCCGAAUCACUACCUCCCUCCCUCAAGCCUCUCUUUCCUCCAUAGCCGAGAGUUUCCUUUGAACGCAUUGGCUCAAUCGUCCAACCUCACCGUCAGUUUCCUUAAUGCCGACAACGCACCACCGCCGUUCGCCGGAAGUUUUCAACUCCCCUUCCACGACCCCCUUUCGCUUGGAUCUCGCCGUCUACUUAUGUCGGUUAGUCGCGAGUGUGACCUCACAACCAAGACGUGUCAAUAAUCUACGACAACCACGUAAGGUCCGUUUCGGUGUCGAUACAAUUUUUAUGGUUUUAUGUUUGCUGCGUUUUUUAUAAAAAAAAGAGGGGUGUGCUUUUGAAAUUUUAUUAUUUGGUGAUGGUAUUUGGUUUGUGGUAGCAUUGGAUUUAUUAUUGUCAUUCUGUUUUUGUUUAUUUUGAACAUGGAAAAUUUUAUUAUUUGGUGAUGGUAUUUGGUUUGUGGUAGCAUUGGAUUUAUUAUUGUCAUUCUGUUUUUGUUUAUUUUGAACAUGGGUUUGUUAUUAUUUUCAUUGUCGGAUAUGUAGUUUUCCACUGGAAAGAAGAAGAUGAACAGUACAACUCAAAUUUUAAUUUUAAUUUUUUUUCAUUUUCUAUUUUUUCUAUUUGUAAUAUUUGAAGCUACUUAUAGUCAUGAUUGAGCUGUUUGGCUUGGUAGAGAGGGGCCUUCGUGGAGAACCAUAGAUCAUGGGUUCAAAACCCGAUGAUUCUCUUUUUAUUUUUCUUUAUUGUGUUUUCUAAGUUGUCAUGAGUUAUGUAUUAAUGGGUUCAGUUGACUUAUGACUUUUCAUCCAUGUUGUAGCGGUAAAUGCGCUUGGCAUAUCUUGCUAGAUCUUGGGUUCGAGUUCAACCCUUGUAUAGCCCAUUUUAUAUUUAUUUCCAUUUUUAUGUUUAUUUAUUUUAAUAUCCUUUUAUAUUUUAUGCACCUAUCCGACACUUGCUGAUCUCGCCGUUUGUCCUUGAUUUUAUUUUGUUGUUAAAAUAUCAAGCUUUAACCUAUGGAUUCAACAAUUUCUGUGUUGUUAUUCCAUGAUUAUUUUAUUGAUAUAUUGAUAGUAUUUCGCCGCAUUUUGAUUAAUCACAUAUGACAUUUCGAUUGUUGUCAAUAUGUGUAAACCGGUUUUGAGCACAUUAUUUAGGUUGUGUGUCCCUCAAUUUCCAUCCGUGUGAAUCCCGGUUUUCCUUCUUUUGACUUAAUUUUUGAUUAUCUUGUAAAUAUAAUUUUGUAUUUGUUGUUUUCUUCACAUGACUUACUCUUGGGCCUUCUUACAAUGAGCUCUUAAGCAACAUCAACUUAACUUUCA